UACGUAGGGUGCAAGCGUUGUCCGGAAUUAUUGGGCGUAAAGAGCUCGUAGGCGGUCUGUCGCGUCGAAUGUGAAAAUCCGGGGCUCAACUCCGGACCUGCAUUCGAUACGGGCAGACUAGAGUUCGGUAGGGGAGACUGGAAUUCCUGGUGUAGCGGUGAAAUGCGCAGAUAUCAGGAGGAACACCGGUGGCGAAGGCGGGUCUCUGGGCCGUAACUGACGCUGAGACACGAAAGCGUGGGUAGCAAACAGG
rnacentral:rRNA from 1 species